AGAAAAGACGAAUUAAGCUUCUAACUUAAUAUUUGACAGAGUCACUUUUCUU
rnacentral:tRNA from 1 species